UGGUAAAAAAAAAUCUUAUAAAAAAUAAUGAUAUGACACUUAAAUUUUAGAUUAAAAAUAUUGAUCCUAUUUUAUAUAAUAUAAAAAAAAAUUUAUCAAAAUUUUAUAUAUUUUGAAUAUUUUUACACAAUUAAAUUUGCAAAUAUCUCACCACGAUCAUUAAAAUUAUUACUUUUGGGCUCCUCGAUCAUUAGGAGAAAGAUAUGAAAAAAUCACAAAAUUUAUUUUUUAAGAUGCUUCAGAUACUCUAAAUCAAAUUUAAUAGAGCCGAUCAUCGAUUCGAAAGACCCACAUCAAACAUGACUUGGUAUAUAUAUAUAUAUAUAUAUAGCUAUAUAUAUAUAGCUAGGCUCCUAUGAUUUUGAAAGUACGGGAGCCUCCGUACUUGAAAGUUAUUUUCGAUGAUAGGACGUCCGAUUCGGCGAUCGGUUCCGUUAGACAUGAUCUACGCUAUUGGAACUAUCUAGAAACCAAAUUUCAUAAUUUUUUGACUUCAUUUGCCUAGUGAACGAGUAGCCUCAAAAUGAACGGUUGAAAAUAAAAAUCUCAUAAAAAAAAAUGAUAAAGGACUCAAAUUUCAAAUCGGAAGUAUUGAUCUUGCUAUUGACGUUAAGUAGAAUUUUCUAUUAAAUUUUCAUGUAAUUUGGAUACUUCUACACUGUUGAACUUAAAAACGUACCACAUCGGCCGUUAAAAUAGUCAUUUUUGGGACCUUUUGAUCGCUUAGUAAAUGAUGUCAAAAAAUUAUAAAAUUUGGUUUCUAGAUUGUUCCAAUAGG
rnacentral:lncRNA from 1 species